rnacentral:rRNA from 1 species
GGUUUGGCUGUUCGCCAAUUAAAGCGGUACGUGAGCUGGGUUUAGACCGUCGUGAGACAGGUCGGUCCCUAUCUGGUGUGGGUGUAGGAUGAUUGCGGAGGUAUUCCCCUAGUACGAGAGGAUUGGGGAGUACGACCCUCUAGUGCACCAGUUAUCACGCUAGUGGUAUAGCUGGGUAGCUACGGUCGGAACGGAUAAGCGCUGAAGGCAUCUAAGUGCGAAGCCAUCUCCAAGACGAGUCAUCCCUAUCAGUCCCCUGGAAGACUACCAGGUUGAUAGGCCAGCGGUGUAAGCACAGCGAUGUGUUCAGCCUACUGGUACUAAUCGGACGAUCGGCUUAACCACCUUCCUC